rnacentral:rRNA from 1 species
GACGAACGCUGGCGGCGUGCCUAAUACAUGCAAGUCGAGCGAACAUUUGAGAGCUUGCUCUCAAAUGUUAGCGGCGGACGGGUGAGUAACACGUGGGCAACCUGCCUAUAAGACUGGGAUAACUUCGGGAAACCGGAGCUAAUACCGGAUAAUUCACAUUUACUCAUGUAGAUGUGCUGAAAGACGGUUUACGCUGUCACUUAUAGAUGGGCCCGCGGCGCAUUAGCUAGUUGGUGAGGUAACGGCUCACCAAGGCAACGAUGCGUAGCCGACCUGAGAGGGUGACCGGCCACACUGGGACUGAGACACGGCCCAGACUCCUACGGGAGGCAGCAGUAGGGAAUCUUCCGCAAUGGACGAAAGUCUGACGGAGCAACGCCGCGUGAGUGAUGAAGGUUUUCGGAUCGUAAAACUCUGUUGUUAGGG